rnacentral:rRNA from 1 species
UACGUAGGUCCCAAGCGUUAUCCGGAUUUACUGGGCGUGAAGUGUCCGUAGCCAGGUGUAUAAGUCUGUUUUCAAAUACCACGACUCAAUCGAGGAAAGGGAAUAGAUACUGUAUACCUAGAGAAUAUUGGAGGUUAGUGGAAUUUCCGGUGGAGCGGUGAAAUGCGUUGAUAUCGGAAAGAACGCCGAAAGCGAAAGCAGCUAACUAUGAUAUUUCUGACGGUGAUGGACGAAAGCUUGAGGAGCAAACGGG